AGCAGUAGCCGCGGUAAUACAGAGGGUGCGAGCGUUAAUCGGAUUUACUGGGCGUAAAGCGUGCGUAGGCGGCUUUUUAAGUCGGAUGUGAAAUCCCUGAGCUUAACUUAGGAAUUGCAUUCGAUACUGGGAAGCUAGAGUAUGGGAGAGGAUGGUAGAAUUCCAGGUGUAGCGGUGAAAUGCGUAGAGAUCUGGAGGAAUACCGAUGGCGAAGGCAGCCAUCUGGCCUAAUACUGACGCUGAGGUACGAAAGCAUGGGGAGCAAACAGGAUUAGAUACCCGAGUAGUCCCUGUCUCUUAUCA
rnacentral:rRNA from 1 species